rnacentral:lncRNA from 13 species
CACAAAGAAUAUGAGAUUGUAUAAUUAUAAAAACUGUUUGUGAUCAGGGUCAUAUGAAGGGUGAGACAUGUGAACUUUAUCAUACAUUGUUCUUUUCGAAGUAUAUAUUGAGGAUAUAGACAUAAGAAAAGCCAUAAAAAUGUUUAAAAGAAAUUUUAGUGUUGUAAUGAGCCCUAACUUAAAGUACCAUAAAAGGAUAUCUACAGAGCACGAUGACUGCACGUAGGGUACCUGGUGUCAGUGGUUUUCAUAAUGUAACAGGUGUUUAGAGACCUGUGAAGGGAUAGCUUAAUGUCUUUAAUAAUUUUUUCUGUUAACUUUAAUAAUUUUUUUUCAGAGCCAUUCUAGGCUUCCGAGCAAUAAACAGGAGUUCUAUAUUAGAAACUUGAAGGCCAUUACCUGUUCUGUUGAAGCUGAUAUUAGAACAAGUGGUCCUUAUUCUAAUACCUGUUCAUCUCUCAAUUUUCAGAGCCAUCCACCUGCUAGGCUGGAGUGUAGCGGCACGAUCUCAGUUCACUGUAACAUCUGCUUCCUGGGUUCAAGUGAUUCUCCUGCCUCAGCUUCCUGAGUAGCUGGGAUUACAGGUGCCUGCCACCAUUCAUUCCCUGCUAAUUUUGGUACUUUUAAUAGAGAGAGGGUUUCACCAUGUUGACUAGUCUGAUCUCGAACUCCUGACCUCAAGUGAUCCACCCACUUCAGCCUCUUAAAGUUCUCAGAUUACAGGUGUGAGUCACCUCUCUCAGCCAAGAUUUCUUUUAAUAUAAUUUAAAUACUGCAUUCCAAACCUAAAAUGAAACCCAACUAUUAAUCUGACUUCAUAUUGUACCUACAGAUAUUUGCAUAUUCUGGGGAAAGUAAUUACAAUGCUCAUACUGUAACCUUUGUCUUGAAUAUUCUGAAAACAUCACAUAAGCUUAUUAACAACAUCAAAUGUCUUCACUAUGACUUAUUGUCUUAUUUUAAUUGAACAAUUUUCCAAUUUUUUAUACAGAGUUUAAUAAAUUGAGACUCGCACCCA